CUUUAUUCAGACCCAGACCCGGCACUGGCUCCAGGGUGCUAGCAGGAAGUGCAAACCUUUCACCCGAGAUGAAUUUUCUGACAAGAAAGUGCUGGAUCCGUUGGAUUUCAAAGAUGCAGAACCACAUGACAUCAACAGGGGACACAUCUGUGGCAAUGGAAUUCAACUGUGUCCAUUUUUCUGAAAGCCGUAUUGCUGUAUUGUAUCUGGAAGGCAGCGAGUGAGCAGGAGAUCUUCAUUAUUUCUUAUUGAGAUGCCAGAAGGGCUGUGUGACAUUUCUGUGGUUCGGCCCCUUUCUCCUGGGACUGAUGACUCAGUAGAGCUGCGCUAACUUUCUGCUUAUCCAAUCUUCCCCACUCCUUCUCUUGCCUCUCACAACAGCUAUUUAUUUUUUUUAUUGCAUUGCUUUAACCCUAAUCUUGGGCUCCCCUGGGGCAGUAUAAGUGCUUUUCAAUAUGUUGCAUACGGCUCUCACAGUAAAAGAGUUAAAUUAGCUCCAAAUUCUCACUUUUGGCAAAACAAAAUGACACACACUCAAUCAUUUUCUGCUACACAAACACAAUUUAAAAGCCCCCCUGUAUUUGCAUGCUAAUUUCUUCUCCAACUAUGGCUACUCCCUUAGUUUAAUUAUGGUAUAUAGUCCCCAGAUGGGCAAAGUAAAAAUAAUGUUACCAUAAUUACAUAAAUGCUAUUGUUGCAUUAUAAAAUUCUGAUUCUGUGUUUGCUGUGUGUUUGCAUACAGUACACGUGCAUGACACACACAAAUAUCCAAUUUUCCUGUCUGUAUGGCAGAAUAAGUGCAUAUUGAUCUGAAAAAUACAAGAAUAAAUAUGCCAGAUCUAUUGUGGAGAUAGCGCAGACAUAAAUAUGCUGCCCUUUAUUCAUUCUAUUACUUUUCACCGGGGAUAUAAACAUGAACCAGAAUUGUCCAUUGCCAUGGUUACAAGUAUUGAGCAAUGUAAAAUAAAGCACAGGAAAAAAUGUCAAGUGGUAUUGAAUCUUAUGUAGAAAAGCUGAU